rnacentral:hammerhead_ribozyme from 1 species
GUACUGCUGAAGAGUGCCAAAAAUAGGACGAAACAGAUGUCCAUUAC